UCACGUGUGUUGUAAACAAUGAGAAUUGAGGCGUUGGGGUUAUGUCCACCUUCUGAGGUAUACGUCUCUAUUGGCUAUGAGUGUGUAGAGUCUUGACAUGUAAUUGCUUAUAGAGAAUUGUAGUCGAUGGUAAAUCCAAGCGUCUCUCGACCUAAACAAGGACUAUUUCACUUUAACUCUCUCGAGCUUAAAGCGUGACUAACGGUACGAAUUCUCCAAGAAGUUAGUCCAGGUACGGCACUAGCUUUUUAAUAGGAAAGGGUGUCCUACUACCUGUACAUUAUCUCUUGUCCAGACAAAUAACUUUUCUCUCGAACAAGUCAGAUGUUAGACUGGCGUUGGUCUAUGCGUCUUCUUUUCUAGACAAAUAACCUUUCUCUCGAACAGGUUAGAUGUUAGAAUGGCGUGUUCUUGUGUUUGAACCGCAAAGAAUGUAG
rnacentral:lncRNA from 1 species